rnacentral:rRNA from 1 species
UACGUAGGGUGCAAGCGUUGUCCGGAAUUAUUGGGCGUAAAGAGCUCGUAGGCGGUUUGUCGCGUCUGCUGUGAAAACUCGGGGCUUAACCCCGGGCCUGCAGUGGGUACGGGCAGACUAGAGUGCGGUAGGGGAGACUGGAAUUCCUGGUGUAGCGGUGAAAUGCGUAGAUAUCAGGAGGAACACCUGCGGUGUAGACGGCUUACUGGGCGGUAACUGACGCUGAGGCACGAAAGCGUGGGUAGCAAACAGG